rnacentral:rRNA from 1 species
UUCUAAGGGCGGUGAAGUCAGACCGGAAGGACUGGUGGAGCGCUUAGAAGUGAGAAUGCCGGUAUGAGUAGCGAAAGAAGGGUGAGAAUCCCUUCCACCGAAUAUCUAAGGUUUCCUGAGGAAGGCUCGUCCGCUCAGGGUUAGUCGGGACCUAAGCCGAGGCCGAUAGGCGUAGGCGAUGGACAACAGGUAGAGAUUCCUGUACCAGUGCUAAUUGUUUAACCGAUGGGGUGACACAGAAGGAUAGGGAAUCGCACGAAUGGAAAUGUGCGUCCAAGCAGUGAGUGUGAGAAGUAGGCAAAUCCGCUUCUCGCGAAGCAUGAGCUGUGAUGGGGAAGGAAAUUAAGUACGGAAGUUCCUGAUUUCACGCUGUCAAGAAAAGCCUCUAGGAAGAGUAGUACUGCCCGUACCGCAAACCGACACAGGUAGAUGAGGAGAGAAUCCUAAGGUGAGCGAGAGAACUCUCGUUAAGGAACUCGGCAAAAUGACCCCGUAACUUCGGGAGAAGGGGUGCUCUAUUAGGGUGCAAGCCCGAGAGAGCCGCAGUGAAUAGGCCCAGGCGACUGUUUAGCAAAAACACAGGUCUCUGCAAAACCGUAAGGUGACGUAUAGGGGCUGACGCCUGCCCGGUGCUGGAAGGUUAAGAGGAGUGCUUAGCUUCGGCGAAGGUACGAAUUGAAGCCCCAGUAAACGGCGGCCGUAACUAUAACGGUCCUAAGGUAGCGAAAUUCCUUGUCGGGUAAGUUCCGACCCGCAC